GAUGAACGCUAGCGGCAGGCCUAACACAUGCAAGUCGAGGGAGAGGUUACCUUCGGGUAACCAAAACCGGCGCACGGGUGCGUAACGCGUAUACAAUCUGCCUUUCACAUAGGGAUAGCCCGAAGAAAUUUGGAUUAAUACCUAAUGGUAUAUAAGAGCGGCAUCGUUUUUAUCUUAAAGCUACGGUGGUGAAAGAUGAGUAUGCGUUCUAUUAGCUAGUUGGAGAGGUAACGGCUCCCCAAGGCGACGAUAGAUAGGGGUUCUGAGAGGGAUGUCCCCCACACUGGUACUGAGAUACGGACCAGACUCCUACGGGAGGCAGCAGUGAGGAAUAUUGGACAAUGGUCGGAAGACUGAUCCAGCCAUGCCGCGUGCAGGAUGAAGGUCCUAUGGAUUGUAAACUGCUUUUGUAAGGGAAGAAUAAGGAGUACGUGUACUUUGAUGAUGGUACCUUACGAAUAAGCAUCGGCUAACUCCGUG
rnacentral:rRNA from 1 species